UCUCACGAAAUCACAAAAGACCAAGAUGUCAAUGAUAAUUUAUGUAAAAUGGCUUUUGAUGAAAUGUCAAUAAGAAAAAAUCUGACAUAUAACGUAAAACUCAAUGCUAAGGCCGUACUAGUGUGAUAGCAAACCAUAGUCGAACUUUCAUGGUUAUCGGUGUUCGAAAAUGCUGGAAACAGCCAAUAGCAUUUUACUUCUCAGGAGAUUGUGACACAGCAGAUAAGUCAGCAGCUCUUGUCGAGGAGGUACAGUAAAGUGGAGCCACAUAGAGGAGUUUUAUAAUAAAGAUCGCGAGAAUCCCAACCGUGUUUGCUCCAGCUUUAACCCAGCACCACUUACAACCAGUACAGAAUGGCAAAAAGAAAAUCAAAGAGCGCCUAGCAGAUCAAAUUUUAAGCCAUUCGGUUGCAGUUGGAAUAUUUGCCAAAAUGAAUGAUGACAAGACGCCCCUGGAACAACUGUCGCUGGACAAGCUUUUCGACUGAACGGAGAUUCGACCGACAGGAAAGAGGUAUAAACACUUAUUAUAAUAAUACUUGACAUCUGUAAUUGUGGAUGUGAUCCAAACCCCACGUCGGUCCAAUUAAAAACUAGCUUAGGCAAUUAGUAGCAGCGUUUUUAAUACGCUGAAAUUAUUAUUCUUCGAAGACACUAAACCUAGCUGCGCAACUGAAUAUCCCUGUAACAGCCAGGUGGAACCUCCAACCUCCCAGGGAAAUUAAGUGGCAUCGCCGACUCAGCUACGCCUACGUCUGGCUAUGCUCUCGGGGUGUA